GCAGCCACUCAUUCAAAGAGUGCGUAAUAGCUCACUGGUCGAGUGAUCCUGCGCCGAAGAUUUCCGGGGCUAAAACUUACUACCGAAGCUACGGCAUCAGUAAUGAUGGGUAGGGGAGCUUCCCAGACGGGUGGAGGCAUGAACGUAAGGACAGGUGGACAGUAGGGGAGUGAGAAUGGUGGCAUGAGUAGAGAGAUGUGGGUGAGAAUGCGAGAGGCCGUAAACCCAAGGGUAGCAGGGGAAGGUGGGUCGGCCCUGGGGAGGUCGGGACCUAAGCUGAGGCCGAAAGGCG
rnacentral:rRNA from 1 species